UUCUUCGGGGCAGGGUGAAAUUCCCGACCGACGGUAACGAGGUGAAACUCGAAGUCCGUGACCCGCAUUUAUUUAUGCGGUUGAUCUAGUGCAAAUCUAGAACCGACAGUUAAAGUCUGGAUGGGAGAAGAA
rnacentral:ncRNA from 1 species